rnacentral:rRNA from 1 species
CCCUUAGAUGUUCUGGGCCGCACGCGCGCUACACUGAUGCAUUCAACAAGCCUAGCCUUGACCGAGAGGUCCGGGUAAUCUUUGAAACUGCAUCGUGAUGGGGCUAGAUUAUUGCAAUUAUUAAUCUUCAACGAGGAAUGCCUAGUAAGCGUGAUUCAUCAAAUCGCGUUGAUUACGUCCCUGCCCUUUGUACACACCGCCCGUCGCUACUACCGAUUGGAUGGCUUAGUGAGACCCUCGGACCGAUAGGCUGUCGCCGCGGCAACGUGGCGACCGGCCCGUCGGGAAGAAGGUCAAACUUGACUGUCUAGAGGAAGUAAAAGUCGUAACA